rfam:Bacteroidales bacterium 52_46 Ley3_66761_scaffold_830, whole genome shotgun sequence.
GGCGGGAUAGCUCAGUUGGUUAGAGCGUCGGAUUCAUAACCCGGAGGUCUCGAGUUCAAUUCUCGAUCCCGCUA